rnacentral:rRNA from 1 species
UUCGGACAAUAUACAAGGUGCUGCAUGGUUGUCGUCAGCUCGUGCCGUGAGGUGUCGGUUAAGUCCCGUAACGAGCGCAACCCUUGUCCUUAGUUACCAGCACGUUAUGGUGGGCACUCUAAGGAGACUGCCGGUGGACAAACCGGAGGAAGGUGGGGAUGACGUCAAGUCAUCAUGGCCCUUACGGCCUGGGCUACACACGUGCUACAAUGGUCGGUACAAAGGGUUGCCAAGCCGCGAGGUGGAGCUAAUCCCAUAAAACCGAUCGUAGUCCGGAUCGCAGUCUGCAACUCGACUGCGUGAAGUCGGAAUCGCUAGUAAUCGUGAAUCAGAAUGUCACGGUGAAUACGUUCCCGGGCCUU